GAUGAACGCUGGCGGCGUGCCUAAUACAUGCAAGUCGAGCGAACAGACGAGGAGCUUGCUCCUCUGACGUUAGCGGCGGACGGGUGAGUAACACGUGGAUAACCUACCUAUAAGACUGGGAUAACUUCGGGAAACCGGAGCUAAUACCGGAUAAUAUAUUGAACCGCAUGGUUCAAUAGUGAAAGACGGUUUUGCUGUCACUGAUAGAUGGAUCCGCGCCGAAUUAGCUAGUUGGUAAGGUAACGGCUUACCAAGGCAACGAUGCGUAGCCGACCUGAGAGGGUGAUCGGCCACACUGGAACUGAGACACGGUCCAGACUCCUACGGGAGGCAGCAGUAGGGAAUCUUCCGCAAUGGGCGAAAGCCUGACGGAGCAACGCCGCGUGAGUGAUGAAGGUCUUCGGAUCGUAAAGCUCUGUUAUUAGGGAAGAACAAAUGUGUAAGUAACUAUGCACGUCUUGACGGUACCUAAUCAGAAAGCCACGGCUAACUACGUG
rnacentral:rRNA from 1 species